rnacentral:rRNA from 1 species
UACGAAGGGGGCUAGCGUUGCUCGGAAUUACUGGGCGUAAAGCGCACGUAGGCGGCGAUUCAAGUUAGAUGUGAAAGGCCUGGGCUCAACCCGGGAACUGCAUUUGAUACUGAAUUGCUAGAGUCCAAGAGAGGGUAGUGGAAUUCCCAGUGUAGAGGUGAAAUUCGUAGAUAUUGGGAAGAACACCAGUGGCGAAGGCGGCUACCUGGCUUGGUACUGACGCUGAGGUGCGAAAGCGUGGGGAGCGAACAGGAUUAGAUACCCGGUAGUCC